rnacentral:rRNA from 1 species
CGCGUAGGCGGUGACGUAAGUCAGGCGUGAAAGGCAUCGGCUCAACCGACGCACAUAGCCUGAUACUACGUUGCUAGAGUGCAGGAGAGGAGAGUGGAAUUCCAGGUGUAGCGGUGAAAUGCGUAGAUAUCUGGAAGAACACCAGUGGCGAAGGCGGCUCUCUGGACUGUAACUGACGCUGAGGCGCGAAAGCUGGGGGGAGCAAACA